AACGAACGCUGGCGGCAUGCCUAACACAUGCAAGUCGAACGAGACCUUCGGGUCUAGUGGCGCACGGGUGCGUAACGCGUGGGAAUCUGCCUUUGGGUUCGGAAUAACAGUUGGAAACGACUGCUAAUACCGGAUGAUGACGUAAGUCCAAAGAUUUAUCGCCCAGGGAUGAGCCCGCGUAGGAUUAGCUAGUUGGUGGGGUAAAGGCCUACCAAGGCGACGAUCCUUAGCUGGUCUGAGAGGAUGAUCAGCCACACUGGGACUGAGACACGGCCCAGACUCCUACGGGAGGCAGCAGUGGGGGAUAUUGGACAGUGGGCGGAAGCAUGAUCCAGCAAUGCCGCGUGAGUGAUGAAGGCCUUAGGGUUGUAAAGCUCUUUUACCCGGGAUGAUAAUGACAGUACCGGGAGAAUAAGCCCCGGCUAACUCCGUG
rnacentral:rRNA from 1 species